UACGAAGGGGGCUAGCGUUGCUCGGAAUCACUGGGCGUAAAGCGCACGUAGGCGGAUUGUUAAGUCAGGGGUGAAAUCCUGGAGCUCAACUCCAGAACUGCCUUUGAUACUGGCGAUCUUGAGUCCGGGAGAGGUGAGUGGAACUGCGAGUGUAGAGGUGAAAUUCGUAGAUAUUCGCAAGAACACCAGUGGCGAAGGCGGCUCACUGGCCCGGUACUGACACUGAGGUGCGAAAGCGUGGG
rnacentral:rRNA from 1 species